GCCAGGUUGAGUUCCCUCUAUGCUCAGUUAGCGGUUUCCCUCUCUGGAAUGCGCACCCUCUUCACCCGGUUGCAGUCGUUAUGCACUAGGCUACAACAACAUGGGAAAUUGAACACUGUUCUUUGUGGAACCCUAAGGAACCACAACAGAUAAAGAAAUUUGGCAAUGUGUGUGUGGUAUAUAUUAUAUUAUAAUUUAGUUCUAGUUUCCAGAUGAAUACGUUGAAACUCAGAACUAAUCAGAGGCAUGCCUGGGAUUUGAACCCAGGGAAAUUACUGCACUCAGUAAUUGAGAAAGUUGAGAUUUGAAUCCAGGUUGUUCCCAGCCUCCCUCCAACCACCCGUAAAUAUCACACAACUGGAGUAGCAAUGGAGUCAGUGGUGAUGAAGGCGCAUAUUCUCCAAGUGUUAGUUCUGUGCCGGCCACUUACGAUUCAUCUGGGUUCGUUCAAUUUCUCAAAAAAUCAAAUAUUUGAGAAUUCGUGCAUUGCUGGGCACAAAUAACAGUGUGGCUGCAAUGGUUCCCACAGCAAGUCUCAACCACACUAAGUGGUCUGUUCUUGUGAACAUCGCCAUGAACGACCCCGCUGUCCUUGUUUUAAAAUGAGCAGUCGUGAAAAAUUAAAAUGCAUAGUUUUUAAAUUAAGUUUAGACUUGGAGCCUGUUCUGCACUCCCAGACUCUUUCGUAGAGAAUAGAGAGAUUCUCCAAGAAAUUUCCAAGUGUUUUACCCUCAAGUAAUCCUCGCCAUUGCCUUCCCUGUGGGCCUCUUAAGCUUUGCUGAAGAGCAAGGAGAGAGGGGCAAGUGUUUACCCAUCUUCUUGUGCUUCUGUUAUACCGUAGUAGAUCUGGGGAGAUUUCGAGUUAAACAAUAUAGUAGCUAAGGCCACUCGGCUUGGACUUUCUGACAAUUAUAAUUUUCAUGAAGCCAGUAUUUGCUUGAACAUGCAGUUCAACAGUCGUCGAAGAGCAGGAGGUGGUUGUGGUUUGCGUUUUGUGUUUUGUGUUUUGUUAUUGAGACAGAUGCUGAAGCCAAUCGAUAAAAGCAUCACCUUAUAUUAGACGUCACCACGAAAUAAAGACCAGUAGAAACCAUUGACGCCAUCCUUAGUGGAUAUAAGAAGCAACCAAACAGAUAAUGAGUUCUUAUUAAUGAGGAGGAGGACAUUGAAUGCAAUUCCUGUACAAAUCAAAAGAAAUAGUGGGUAAAGGGGUAAUCAGAAAAGCUUUGUUGGGGGAGGUUUGCUAUAGAAAAUCUUGGUGAGACUUAAGUGCUGGAAGAAACGCCAAGUCUGACACCUGAUCCCAAGAUCCCACAGCAUGGAGGAGAGAAGCAACUCAUCAGGAGGUCCUCUGACAUCCACAUGUGGUGGCACCUACCACCGAGAGUGUAUGAUAGGCACUCAGCCUCAGUAAUCUGUUCACGUGAGCCUGUACCAUAGUCAAUGGCAAAUACAACUAUAUUGAUCUACACCGACUCUGUACAAUAGGUUUUCACAUUAGCACAGGAAAGGGGCCCUGCCCUUCAGGAGUUUCUAUUUACCCAA
ensembl:lncRNA